CGCACACACAUUACUAGCAUUCUGUCGAUUUUAAAAUGUAUAGAAAAAUUGGAGGACUUAAUUUUACUAAUAGUUGAAAAAAACGUGGUGAUAAUUACACAGUUAAUUUGUUUAGCCGCAAAUCAUGGUAAAAAAUCGCGUGAAAUUGCAAAAAUGUCAACGAACCAGUGUUGUUUCGUUUGUCUUUUUUUAUGCGAUAUCAGCAUAUGUCGACAAUAUGCUCGUGGAGAUGCGCAAUUACAUCACGAUAAUCUUUGUAAACCGACAAUUACAUGAAUAACGUGAAUAGACAUUGAGAAUGAACAUUUCAUCCGCUUUCAUCGUUUGUUUAUUGAGUUUGUUAAGUUUAGUAUAAUGGAAAAAUCAGAUGAAGAAGUCUUGUUUAACGGAUGUAAUAAAAUUUUUUUUCUAACCUAGAGAAAUAAAAAAUUAAUGUUUAAUAGUUUGAAGAUAUUAUAAAUAUCAAUAAUAUCUGAUAUUUAUUCGUAUUUUUCAAUCGAUUGUUCUUUAAUAAUAAUGACAUACAAAAGAAAGAGCGAAGAAUUUUCCAUAAUCGCAUAAAAGGAAAUGAUGCAUUCAUCGACUUAUAAUAUAUCCAAUAGCAAAAGAGGAAUUCCCAAUUUCAUCAGGUCGCACAGCUACAUCUACAGAUAUCUAAGAGGUAACGAGGAGUCAUUCUGACGCAAUAGGGAGACAACGCGAGUCACGAUCGGUCAAGAGUUUCCUAUUGAAAUACCCCUGAUGGACGAAAUUGCAUUUCCGCAACUAUCAUUUUUUUUUUGACUGCGAUACCUUGUCUCCAUCAAUAAGAAAAAUUAGCUAUAAGAUUUAGUCAUUCAAAAAUAUUGAAUGAAACAGCUGAGGUCGAAGAAUGUGAAAUGAAAGUCAAUAGAAGAUAAAAAACAAUACUUGAUUGGCUGAUUAUGGAGAAAAUUAUAGCUUGAAGCGAUUCUACAAACAAGUUAUAAGCAAGAGGUGGAGAAAUAGGAGGAGCGAUUAAUUUUUGCGCUUAAUCGAAACGCCUAUCAGCAUUGUGGAUGAUGAUGUUAUGUGAAUGGAACGAAUUAUAUAUUGUUUUUCUUGGUGAUAUCAUAUGCUUCAGAUUCGAAUUUAUCUAAUAAUCUUCGAAUAAAUUGCCAAUAAGGAAACCAUUUGGCAGCGAUUAUAGUAAUCGAUUUAAUAAUAAUUUCUAUACAGAUAUAAAUUUAAUGAAGUAAUAUAUUAAUAAGGAAAAUAUUUUAUUUAUCUAAUGAAUUUUAUGAUAUAAAUAAUACAUGUUAAUUACUUGAUAUUAUUUUUAAUUAAUUUAAAUUCUUGUUUGAAAGAUAUUGUAAAGAAAUAUGUACAAGAUUCUAAAAUAAUAUUAAUAUUAUAAUAUUUUAUUGUUACAAAUAUUGAUAAUCCAUUAAUUGAUUUAAUUUGUUUUUAUAUUUUUUUUACAUAUUUCUUCAAAUAUACAAAAAUUCGAUACUAAACACAAAUGUUCAAUCAAUUCUCAAUUUUAUAGUAUUCUUCGGUUUUCUUUGAACUUUUCUUUCGUUAAUACUCUUCAAGAAAUCUGUAGAAUCCUUCACUGGUAAUUAUCUUAUCGUAAAACGUCGUUCAACCGACAUUCAAAAGAUUCCUGAUGAAUUACGAGAAUCAUAAUGCAACGAUACGUGUGCAUUUGCGGCGCAUAGGUGAUUCGACCUCGUCACCUCGCCAUAGCUCGCAUGACUGUUCUAACGUUGACACCCGCUAAAUAAAUCAAUCGUGUUCAUGCGAGAAGAAGGAUGCUCGAAGGACUAGAGAAGAACGUUGAAACGGAAAGUUCAUGCCAACUUGUGAAUCAUGAUAUUAGCAAGAUAUUGUUGAAACCAUUCAGGCCAACUAUUUCGAUUAGCCAAUACCUAAUAUUGGCUCCUCUUUACUUUUCCAAACAAAUUAUGCGUUUCUUGUUUAAUAUGAGUUGUCAAAGAUAGUGUGAAAAUUACUCACACUUAAAAAAAAAUCUUAAUUAAAAGGAAAAUUUCUAUUUCCUCUAUCUGGAUCCAAUAUCUGGAUUCUCUUCUACAAUUCUUUUCUCUUCUUAACUAAUAAUAGUGAAUUGAUAAGUGAACAAAUAUAGAUAUUAUUAUAAUUUUAUAUGAAAGAAACAUUAAUCAAAUUAGAUUAAUUUAGAAUUUAUAAAAUUUUAUUUAUUUUUAUUACAAAAUUUAAUAUUGCUAUAAGAUAAAUAUAAGAUAAUUUAUUAAUAUUGAUAACAUAUAAUUUAUGAUUUUUAUUAUUAAUUUUAUUUAGUAAUAAUUCAAUUAGGUAGAAAUGCAAGAAUCUUUUUCAAACAAAUGAUUAAAAAUUUAGUUUAUUGUUGAUAUAGAUGAUUCAUGAAAACUAUUAAUCGCAAUAAUUUUUUUGAUUAAAUAAUUCUAAUAAUCAAAAGAAAAAACAGAAAUAAAUGAUUCAAAGGAGAUUUCAUUAAACUGGGUAAGAUAAUGCCCGCUGGCAUUUGAAUCUUACGGUGAAAUUACAUAAUACAAUAACUGGAAGAAGGUAUAAAGAGAGAAAGUGUAUUAAAUAGUUAAUUACAAAGCCAAUGCGUUUCAGCGUUAAUUGAAUAACAGUGAAAUUUCGUGUUUGAAUUUUUUUUCACGGCCACAAUGUUCACGUAAUUGAAGAAAGAAAAGGAAGUUGAAUUCGUGAUUGUUCUCUCUCUGGAUGCUAUCGAUAAUUUAUCCAGCACGAAUGAAAUAAAUCGAUCGAUACAAGUUUUAUGUACAAUGGAUGAUUCAUGACUGCAAGGCUAGACGACAUUUUCGAGCCACCAUUAAAAAUCCACUAUGUAGACGCAAUAGUACUUGUAUAUCGGUGGAGGCUCGUCUGCCGACAGUGUGGUGGCAUUUAACCGAUCCAUGCCAUCGUGUUCGCUAGUUCUAUUACGCAACUAGUGCCUUUAAGCCGGCGGCAACGAUUGUGACGACGACGUCGACGACAACGAAGAUGACAACAGCAACAUCGACCUCAUGUGGUUCAGCUUAGAUUCUUACGAAAUUUUUAAUUCUCACGUGGAUUUCUUAUUAGAGAUGGAAUUAAGCUCAAUAUAUAUUUAUAAAUUUGAAUCAAUUUUAAUAAGGAUUAACAAUCAAUAUAUUAUUGAAUAUGAUUCAAUAUAUAAGCUAAUUAUUUCUGGCUUGAAUAAAUAAUGAAGUAUAUAUUGUGAAUUUUUAUCUAUAAAAGUACGCUACUAUACUAAUUGGUGUUAAUGAGAUAAUAUUAUCUAGAAAAUGAUAAAUCGUCUUGUCAAAGAAUUUAUAUUUUUAGGAGAAUGAAAUAUUUUGGUAUAUCGAGAGAAUGAUUAUGAACAUGAUUUUAAAAUUUAUAAAUUAUUUAUAAAAUGCUCGGCUGUAUCUUUAUCUUUGAUGUGAGUGAAUUUUAAGUGUGAAGUUUGGUUGAUAUUUCUUUAAUAGAAUUACGUCAAUUUGUGAUAUAUUUGUGAUAUAAAUUGUACAAGAAAAUGGAAAUAAAGUGUAUAUUAACAGAUAACAGUUAAAUAUAUUAUUAAUUUUGACAAAAAAAAUUUUGUUAGUCAAAAUUAUGAACGUUUUUAUUCCAUGAGAUAAAUUUUCCAAUAGUUGAUCGAAGUUUUCGCCUCUUUAUCCCAAGAAGAAGAUUCUUGUGCACAAUCGAUUAUUCACGAUGAGCGGCAAUAAAAAGGGAAAAGUCACGACUCGUGCGCCAAUGCACGAGCGCGCAAGAACUCAACUGAUUAUCUAAUAUCGUGCCAUCUAAGUAUAUAUAUUCACCAUGAAGAGGAUCUUCUGAAUGGAGAAAUAACUUAACGAAACCUGAUCAACAGAAAUUUCACUGAAAAUAUGUAUUGAGAAUAAAAUUGAGAACAAAAGUUGAUGCGAUCGAUUUCGACGCCAUUUUUCUAAUCUUUUACAUCAUAAUCGAAAAAUCAUGCUACUUGUAUACGAAUACAUUCUUGUUUUUGUAUUUUUAUUGUAAAAAAAAAACUAAUAUCUAUUAAUAUAAUGGUAAUAUAAUAAACAAAGUAAGAUAGUAAUGAUAUAAGUAACAACAUUUGAUAUAAUUUGUUACAUUUUUAGAAAAUAUAAAAUUAAUGAUUUUUUGGAGUUAGAAAAUAAUAACUUAUAAAAUAACUUACAAAUAAGACAUCAAAAGUUCUAUAAAGAAUAAAUAAAAUAUCUGAAUAAUAGACAUAAAUCAAUUAUACGUAAUUUCAUCUAGGGAUAAACAUGUUUUAUCCAUUGACAAAUCCUGUUUUUACAUUCUUACCAUAAUUUUACGGCUUAAAGAAGACAUUUGAUACACACUAAUUGAAUAUAUAUAUAUAUAUGUAUAAUAUAUAUUGUAUAAUAUAAUAUAUGUAUGUAUAGUAUAUAUAAUAUAAAUAUUUUUAAAAUUAAUAUUUCACUCUUUUAAAUCAUGAUAUUAUAAAUAUUAUUUAUGUAAGA